GCCCUCUCAUGGUCGCACAUGGAGAGUUUCUAGUACUCUACCAGUCUUGGCUACGGGAGGGAGAGUCAAGCAGAGGCCUGUCCAUUCCAUUCCUAGCUUGGGCAGUGGCUAGCGAGUGGAAGACAUUCUGCUACUUCA